UUUAAAAUUUAAAGUCUAGCCUGCUCAAUGAGAAUUUAAAUAGCCGCAGUAUUUUGACUGUGCAAAGGUAGCAUAAUCAUUAGUUUCUUGAUUAGGAACUUGUAUGAAUGGUUGGAUGAGAAAUGAACUGUCUCUGUAUAAAUUUAUUUAGAAUUUUAUUUUUAAGUUAAAAAGCUUAAAUGUUUGUUAAAGACGAGAAGACCCUAUAGAGUUUAAUUUGAUUAAUAUUUUGAUUUAUUAAGAAUUUAAAUUUUGUUAUGUUAAUUGAAUUUUGUUGGGGGGACAGGAAGAAUAAGUUAACUUUUCUUUUUUAAAACAUUAAUUUAUGAUUUGUUGAUCCAAUGUUCUUGAUUAUAAGAUUAAAUUACCUUAGGGAUAACAGCGUAAUUUUUUUUGAGAGUUCUUAUCGAAAAAAAAGAUUGCGACCUCGAUGUUGGAUUAAAAUUUA
rnacentral:rRNA from 1 species